rnacentral:lncRNA from 10 species
UGAUGAAUACUUCAGAAUGAAACUGCAGUGGAAAUCCAUCAGCCAGGAACAAGAGAAAAGAAAUUCGAGGUUAAGAGAUUAUAGAAGUCUUAUCGAAAAAGAUGUUAACAGAACAGAUCGAACAAACAAGUUUUAUGAAGGCCAAGAUAAUCCAGGGUUGAUUUUACUUCAUGACAUUUUGAUGACCUACUGUAUGUAUGAUUUUGAUUUAGGUAAGUUCUCUAAAGUUCUAAUUUUAAAAGAUGUAAAUAUAUUUACUUUAGAGUUUACAUUUUUAAUCCAGUUAGACAUGGGUAAUAGCUUUGUAGGCCUAGUUUUAAGAGAAUUUGUUCUCCAGGGGACUGGAAACUUACAAGGCUAUGGUUCUCAACCAAGGAGCCCUGGGUUGCUGCAGCAAACUAACAGGAGCACCAUGGGAUAUUUAAAAUUUUUAAGGGAAUUAUAAAGACAUCUAUAGGACACCACUCUAACUACUAGCUGAAAUAGCUAAAGGUUUUAACAUUAGAUCAUUACAUUCUUUUUGAUGAAGUUAUAUCUUUGCAAAGCUGGGUUUUUGGCCUUGCUGUGAUAAGUACUGUGUAAAAAUAAAUGAUGAAAAUAAAUGAGGAUGGUGAUAGCCAGUUGAAUUUUAAGGUUUGAGAAGUAUUGUAGUGCUCAGUAGGUGAUAAGCACAUAGGAUAUGAAUACUUAUUCAGUUGUUUUGACCUAACUGCUUAAUAAAUGGAGUUGUUAUUUCUUUGAGACUUAGGAGUGCCUUGGGAAAAAUUGCUGGGAUACUAAGGAUGAUAACCAUGAACUGAGAAAGUUUGCAAACCGUUGUUUGAUAUGCUUUUCCC